UACGGGGGGGGCAAGCGUUGUUCGGAAUUACUGGGCGUAAAGGGUUCGUAGGUGGCCAACUAAGUCAGACGUGAAAUUCCUCGGCUUAACCGGGGAACUGCGUCUGAUACUGGAUGGCUUGAGUUCGGGAGAGGGAUGCGGAAUUCCAGGUGUAGCGGUGAAAUGCGUAGAUAUCUGGAGGAACACCGGUGGCGAAGGCGGCAUCCUGGACCGACACUGACACUGAGGAGCGAAAGCCAGGGGAGCAAACGGG
rnacentral:rRNA from 1 species